rnacentral:rRNA from 1 species
UAACACGUGGAUAACCUACCUAUAAGACUGGGAUAACUUCGGGAAACCGGAGCUAAUACCGGAUAAUAUAUUGAACCGCAUGGUUCAAAAGUGAAAGACGGUCUUGCUGUCACUUAUAGAUGGAUCCGCGCUGCAUUAGCUAGUUGGUAAGGUAACGGCUUACCAAGGCAACGAUGCAUAGCCGACCUGAGAGGGUGAUCAGCCACACUGGAACUGAGACACGGUCCAG